rnacentral:hammerhead_ribozyme from 1 species
GUACUGCUGAGGAGUCCCACAAUGGGACGAAACGGCCGUCCACUGC